CGUUAGAUCACCGAAGUCAAACAUCAUUGGACGCGGUCAGUACUUGGGUGGGUGACCAACUGGGAACACCGU
rnacentral:rRNA from 1 species